AUUGAACGCUGGCGGCAGGCCUAACACAUGCAAGUCGAGCGGAUGAAGGGAGCUUGCUCCUGGAUUCAGCGGCGGACGGGUGAGUAAUGCCUAGGGAUCUGCCUGGUAGUGGGGGAUAACGUCCGGAAACGGGCGCUAAUACCGCAUACGUCCUGAGGGAGAAAGUGGGGGAUCUUCGGACCCCACGCUAUCAGAUGAGCCUAGGUCGGAUUAGCUAGUUGGUGGGGUAAAGGCCUACCAAGGCGACGAUCCGUAACUGGUCUGAGAGGAUGAUCAGUCACACUGGAACUGAGACACGGUCCAGACUCCUACGGGAGGCAGCAGUGGGGAAUAUUGGACAAUGGGCGAAAGCCUGAUCCAGCCAUGCCGCGUGUGUGAAGAAGGUCUUCGGAUUGUAAAGCACUUUAAGUUGGGAGGAAGGGCAGUAAGUUAAUACCUUGCUGUUUUGACGUUACCAACAGAAUAAGCACCGGCUAACUUCGUG
rnacentral:rRNA from 1 species